ncrna:unclassified sequences DTF3800-VII RNA
AAAGAACGUCGCCGGAUUAACACGAGGGUGUUUCACCAGCAUGCUUGUCAUGUGGUAGUCGUGCCGGGGGUUCUUUCUUUU